rnacentral:lncRNA from 1 species
AACACUGAGAGGGUCGACCCAAAGGCAGUGACAGAAUAUAUUGACAGAAUAGGUUCUCUGGAAACCCUAAGAGGGUCGACCCAAGUGAAAGUUGAGUCGACCCAACUGAACCUUGAGUCGACCCAAAGAAAUGUUGAGUCGACCCAAGUGAAGGAAGGCUGAAUUAUAAGUUUCUGUGGUUCUGAGAGGGUCGACCCAAGGAAAGGUUGAGUCGACCCAAGUGAAAGUUGGAUCGACCCAAGAAAAGGUUGAGUCGACCCAAGCACGGGCAGAAGCAUAACGGUUAGUUCUACAGAAGUACUUUUUGUCCUUCCAACACUGAGUAACGGCUAGUUUUUGAAUUCUAACCAUUGGGGCUUGUCCAAUGGAUGAAGGAAAUUAUUUAAAGUGGCACUAUUCAUCAGAGAAAACAUUCUUUUGCAAAAUAUCAAAGAGUACACAAGAAAGACAAAGUGCCCUAAUCUUCUUCAUUCAAGUGCUUCAUUCAAGAGUCAAAAGAAAGUGGUUGAGCAGAUUCUAAGAGUCAUUAAGAGCUCCAUCCACCCUUGAAGAGUGAAGCAUCCUUGACAAAGAAGAGAGAAGUCACAUCAAGCGAUAACUAUUCUCCAAACUCUUCUUUGUAGAUUAUAUUGUUAUAUUUGCUCAUCUAGGAGCUUAAAUCUUCUUACUUCGUUUAUUAAACUCCUUGUAAAGGUUAGUUGGUAAGCCCGCAAAACCAACGGUGUAGGUUGAUUGGUGAA